GGGUUGUGAGGUUAAGCGACUAAGCGUACACGGUGGAUGCCCUGGCAGUCAGAGGCGAUGAAGGACGUGCUAAUCUGCGAUAAGCGUCGGUAAGGUGAUAUGAACCGUUAUAACCGGCGAUUUCCGAAUGGGGAAACCCAGUGUGUUUCGACACACUAUCAUUAACUGAAUCCAUAGGUUAAUGAGGCGAACCGGGGGAACUGAAACAUCUAAGUACCCCGAGGAAAAGAAAUCAACCGAGAUUCCCCCAGUAGCGGCGAGCGAACGGGGAGCAGCCCAGAGCCUGAAUCAGUGUGUGUGUUAGUGGAAGCGUCUGGAAAGGCGCGCGAUACAGGGUGACAGCCCCGUACACAAAAAUGCACAUGCUGUGAGCUCGAUGAGUAGGGCGGGACACGUGGUAUCCUGUCUGAAUAUGGGGGGACCAUCCUCCAAGGCUAAAUACUCCUGACUGACCGAUAGUGAACCAGUACCGUGAGGGAAAGGCGAAAAGAACCCCGGCGAGGGGAGUGAAAAAGAACCUGAAACCGUGUACGUACAAGCAGUGGGAGCACGCUUAGGCGUGUGACUGCGUACCUUUUGUAUAAUGGGUCAGCGACUUAUAUUCUGUAGCAAGGUUAACCGAAUAGGGGAGCCGAAGGGAAACCGAGUCUUAACUGGGCGUUAAGUUGCAGGGUAUAGACCCGAAACCCGGUGAUCUAGCCAUGGGCAGGUUGAAGGUUGGGUAACACUAACUGGAGGACCGAACCGACUAAUGUUGAAAAAUUAGCGGAUGACUUGUGGCUGGGGGUGAAAGGCCAAUCAAACCGGGAGAUAGCUGGUUCUCCCCGAAAGCUAUUUAGGUAGCGCCUCGUGAAUUCAUCUCCGGGGGUAGAGCACUGUUUCGGCAAGGGGGUCAUCCCGACUUACCAACCCGAUGCAAACUGCGAAUACCGGAGAAUGUUAUCACGGGAGACACACGGCGGGUGCUAACGUCCGUCGUGAAGAGGGAAACAACCCAGACCGCCAGCUAAGGUCCCAAAGUCAUGGUUAAGUGGGAAACGAUGUGGGAAGGCCCAGACAGCCAGGAUGUUGGCUUAGAAGCAGCCAUCAUUUAAAGAAAGCGUAAUAGCUCACUGGUCGAGUCGGCCUGCGCGGAAGAUGUAACGGGGCUAAACCAUGCACCGAAGCUGCGGCAGCGACGCUUAUGCGUUGUUGGGUAGGGGAGCGUUCUGUAAGCCUGCGAAGGUGUGCUGUGAGGCAUGCUGGAGGUAUCAGAAGUGCGAAUGCUGACAUAAGUAACGAUAAAGCGGGUGAAAAGCCCGCUCGCCGGAAGACCAAGGGUUCCUGUCCAACGUUAAUCGGGGCAGGGUGAGUCGACCCCUAAGGCGAGGCCGAAAGGCGUAGUCGAUGGGAAACAGGUUAAUAUUCCUGUACUUGGUGUUACUGCGAAGGGGGGACGGAGAAGGCUAUGUUGGCCGGGCGACGGUUGUCCCGGUUUAAGCGUGUAGGCUGGUUUUCCAGGCAAAUCCGGAAAAUCAA
rnacentral:rRNA from 1 species